AGAGUUUGAUCAUGGCUCAGAUUGAACGCUGGCGGCAUGCCUUACACAUGCAAGUCGAACGGCAGCACGGGGGCAACCCUGGUGGCGAGUGGCGAACGGGUGAGUAAUACAUCGGAACGUGUCCUGUAGUGGGGGAUAGCCCGGCGAAAGCCGGAUUAAUACCGCAUACGAUCUACGGAAGAAAGCGGGGGAUCGCAAGACCUCGUGCUAUAGGGGCGGCCGAUGGCAGAUUAGCUAGUUGGUGGGGUAAAGGCCUACCAAGGCGACGAUCUGUAGCUGGUCUGAGAGGACGACCAGCCACACUGGGACUGAGACACGGCCCAGACUCCUACGGGAGGCAGCAGUGGGGAAUUUUGGACAAUGGGCGAAAGCCUGAUCCAGCAAUGCCGCGUGUGUGAAGAAGGCCUUCGGGUUGUAAAGCACUUUUGUCCGGAAAGAAAACUUCGAUCCUAAUAUGGUUGGAGGAUGACGGUACCGGAAGAAUAAGCACCGGCUAACUACGUGCCAGCAGCCGCGGUAAUACGUAGGGUGCGAGCGUUAAUCGGAAUUACUGGGCGUAAAGCGUGCGCAGGCGGUCUGUUAAGACCGAUGUGAAAUCCCCGGGCUUAACCUGGGAACUGCAUUGGUGACUGGCAGGCUUUGAGUAUGGCAGAGGGGGGUAGAAUUCCACGUGUAGCAGUGAAAUGCGUAGAGAUGUGGAGGAAUACCGAUGGCGAAGGCAGCCCCCUGGGCCAAUACUGACGCUCAUGCACGAAAGCGUGGGGAGCAAACAGGAUUAGAUACCCCAGUAGUCC
rnacentral:rRNA from 1 species